CAACGAAAAAAGAGAGGACUUUGUUUAACUUUUUAAACAGAAUAAAACUCAUUCUAUCUCUCAAAUACUCUCGAGUCCGAACAGUAGACCCUCUUGAGAACCUGACACCGAAGGCCUCCAGGAAGAAGGUCGCAAGGCAGGCUGGUGCCAAACAGAUGGAAAACUAGUGGAACCUCGGCUGCGGUCUGGGACUUCGUUUUGGGAGACUUGUCUGUAAAGGGCUUCUGGUAGGGUAAAAGUGCACCUACGGGACCUUUACAUACAUUUGUUGCCCCCACAGUCAUUUGAAAAGGGAUGUGACAGGCAUGGUGCUGAGCAAUGCAGAGCUACAGAUGAGAAGAAUCAGCUUCUGGGCUCAGGGCUUAGUCUGAGGGGGGACAGCUCUGAGGAAGAAUGGUGAUACAGCAGCUGGAAUCUGAUCCAGGUGGGGGAGCCAGUAGGAGGAAGCCGCUCUUGCUGUAAUCUGCCACCUCCCAACAUGGGGGUGUAAUAAACUAAUUUCCUGAGGCCUUGAUGUCUUCAGGAAUUCAGAGAGACUCCCUGCAUCACUUGAGGAAACAACUGGCUGGUUUUGUAGCAGGGAGGAGAAGAAGGCUGUGGCAAGACAGGCUGGUGCCAAACAGAUGGGAAACUAGUGAGCGAGAAAGGGCUAGACCCUCCUGCCUGCCGAUGUCGCCCCUCCCCUUUUUCCAGUCCUCUUGAUAUGUAACUUUUAAAAAGGUUAAUAUUGAAUUACAUAAUAAA